rnacentral:rRNA from 1 species
AGUGAACGCUGGCGGUAGGCCUAACACAUGCAAGUCGAACGGCAGCACAGUAAGAGCUUGCUCUUACGGGUGGCGAGUGGCGGACGGGUGAGGAAUACAUCGGAAUCUACUUUUUCGUGGGGGAUAACGUAGGGAAACUUACGCUAAUACCGCAUACGACCUACGGGUGAAAGCAGGGGAUCUUCGGACCUUGCGCGAUUGAAUGAGCCGAUGUCGGAUUAGCUAGUUGGCGGGGUAAAGGCCCACCAAGGCGACGAUCCGUAGCUGGUCUGAGAGGAUGAGCACCCACGCUGGAACUGAGGCACGGUCCAGACUCCUACGGGAGGCAGCAGUGGGGAAUAUUGGCCGAUGGGCGCAAGCCUGAUCCAGCCAUACCGCGUGGGUGAAGAAGGCCUUCGGGUUGUAAAGCCCUUUUGUUGGGAAAGAAAAGCAGCAGGUUAAUACCCCGCUGUUCUGACGGUACCCAAAGAAUAAGCACCGGCUAACUUCGUG